AUGCUGAGCUGGAUCCCUGAUCAGCGCAUCAACAUCAGAUGGGUUUUUCACCUGACAGAUUUGUGUCCCAUUGUCAUCAAACCACAGCUUCCGGAGGAGGAUGGAGACAUACCACUCUGGGUUCCCAUCCCAGAUCACUCAGUCCUUGAAACGCCCACUCAUGGGUUUGAAGGGUUCCACAUGGUGGUAGAAAGCAAACUGUUUAGGGCCUCCAUAUCAAGGUCAGGAAUUCCAGGUCACCGCGAGAGCAUCACCCACAGGGGCAAAAUAGGAGAAAGUGCGGUUUAGCCGAACAUCUGUCCGAUUGACAGCCUCCAGCACACAAGGAGUGUAAAUUUCCACAGCUGCUAUUGGCCAAAGAGCUGUGAACUGUGUGCCAAGGAGAAAAAGCACAGCAUGCGUAGGGUUCUUGCUGUACAUGAGGGAAACCCAGCCCUGGCCCCAGAGACCAGAUCGGGUAGACUGAGCUCUCCAGCAUCCCGCCAAGGCCUCUCCUGGUGGAGGGGGCGCCGCUGCAUCUUUCCGGAGAAAGGAGUCUGUCCCUCACCUGCGGGAACCUGAGUGCCCGUGCCUUCUGGAAAUUUUCUUUUCUUCAUCUUUAUAUCCUGGAUCUUUAUGAACACAUUAUUUGAGAAAAAGGACUAUGUCUUAGCCAUCAUUUUACCUACAAAACACAGUAUUUGAAAAGAAAAAUGCUCAAUAAAUGCUUACUAAAUGAAUAACAAUAAUGGCUACCAUUUAUUGAGCAAUUAUUAUGUGCUAGGAACCAAACAUAUUACAUGCUUUAUCUCACUGGUUCUUAUAAGAAGAAUGAAGUAAUCAUUUUAAAAUUCUUUUUUGGUAUCCCUUUAGCACACGUGUGACUUGUUAGAAUAUGUGUAUGCUUUUACAUAUCUUUCAAUAAUAAAUACGUUACUUAGAGUAAAUAAAGACUAUUCAGGAGCUUCACUGGUGGCUCAGUGGUAACGAAUCCACCUGUCAAUGCAGGAGACAUGGGUUCUACCCCUGAUCCGGGAAGAUCCCAGACGCUGUGCAGCAACUAAAUGCAUGCACCACAACAUUUGAGCCUGUGCCUUAGGGCCCAGGAACCGCAAGCACUGAGCCCACUCGUCUCAGCUCCUGAGGCCACUUGCCCUAGAGCCCAUGCUCUGCAAAAGAGAAGCCACUGCAACGAGAAGCCUGCACACCGCAAUGAAGAGUAGCCCCUGCUCUCUGCAACAAAGCCUGUGCAUCAGCGAAGACCCAACACAGCCCCCCACCACAAAAAUAAUAAGAAGAAAAACAUCCAUUUAUCCACUCAAUUAUUCACCAGACUAAAUUAAUUCUUUUGAAAUGAAUUAUUUAUUUAGUGUCAGAAAAUGGUAGUGGAGAUACAAAAUUAAGAGGUGUCACAUUUCUGGUCACAGUCUUAGCUAGAGCCUUUCUGUGCCCCCAGCGCUCUCCCACUCCCACCGCCUUCAGGGCCAAGUUCCACCUUCUUUAGAAGAUAAAAGAGAUUUUUUUUUUUUCUGCCAUUGCCUCUUCAACCUCAUCUCUGGCUAGUCCACACCUCAAAUCUUAGCAAUAGCAAAACACUGCUUAGAGAUCAGUCUGAAAAAUGUUACGAGGGGACCUUCUGAGGUGCUAACACUGAUUCUGUGUCUUGAUCUAGGUGCUGCGUACAUGGACACAUGAGGGGAUUCUGUUUAUGAAAAUGCAUUGCCACAUGUUUCUGUGGGAAUAUUAUACUUCCAUAAAGAGUCAAAACCAAAACAACCAAAAACCCCCUCUUGCCAUGCUGAAAUAUUUGUCAUUUCCUAUCCCUAAUGUGGCAUAUUUUUCUCUUCCUUCUAGAUUUUUACAAAUGCUGCCACCUUCCUGAAACUCCACUGGCCUGUGCUAUUAACCCUUUCCUAUAUUCUUCUGAAACUGCCUUGUCACAGCCUGUUUCUGUGAUUCUUUGCCCCACAAGACCAAGUUCUUCAGCAUUGUGUCUCCUGGUAUUUAAUGUAGCUCCAGGAGCCCAACAGGUUUAGCAUAACGGCAGAGUCACAUAAUUUCACUGGUGUAAAAUGUUGUGUGCUAAGUCUCUUCAGUUGUAUCUGACUCUGUGUGACCCUUUGGACCGGACCAUAGCCUGCCAGGCUCCUCUGUCCAUGGGAUACUCCAGGCAAAAGUCCUGGAGUGGGUCGCCAUGCCCUUCUCUAGGGGAUCUUCCUGACUCAGGGAUCGAACAUGUGUCUCUUACAGCUCCUGCAUUGACAGCGGGGUUCUUUACCACUAGUGCCACUUGGGAAGCCCCUUAGGUGAUUUGUAUCUUUAUCACCUCCCAAAACAACAAAAACAAUAUUCAAAAGACUUUCCUGUACUUUUAGAAUAACUAUGCACAUAUAUGGAUGAAGUUGUUAAAGUUGGAACUUGCACUGGUAAUUCCAUAAGCUAAGCAUACAGGGCUUCCUGGUGGCUCAGCGGUAAAGAAUCUGCGUACAAUGCACACAAGGUUUGAUCCUUGGGUCAGAAAGACCCCUUGGAGGAGGGCAUGGCAACCCACUCCAGUAUUCUUGCCU
ensembl:lncRNA